rnacentral:rRNA from 1 species
CUGCUGCCUUCCGUAGGAGUUUGGACCGUGUCUCAGUUCCAAUGUGGCCGAUCACCCUCUCAGGUCGGCUACUGAUCGUCGCCUUGGUGAGCCGUUACCUCACCAACUAACUAAUCAGACGCAGGUCCAUCCCAUACCGAUAAAUCUUUGGCUGAGCAUACAUGUGUAUUCUCAGUUUUAUGAGGUAUUAAUCACCGUUUCCAGUGGCUAUCCCUCUGUAUGGGGCAGGUUACCUACGCGUUACUCACCCG